CACCAACCCGGCAGCUGGUAGAAGAACCACGCCAAUGCGGUUGGGAUACACUGGGACUCAUAGUGGAGAGGCAGUGCUGUGGAACAAUUGAAAAUAAAUAUAAGUAAAGAAGUUGUGACACUACACACUUACCCGUCAAGCCCCACCAAGUUGGACAGCCACUCCGGAGUUUGACGACCCCUGAGGCAAACAUGAGUCUGAAGAGUGCCCAACGUAUCAACCACAUUGUCACCAGGUUUCUGGGACGAUAUUCAGACCAGCCACGGCGACUCACUGGAGCUACUAAUAUGGUAAAGACUGUCAGAAGCCAUACAACAGUACUAUACUGUGCUAACUUACAGGCAAUCGGCAUUGUAACCAAGAAGUUGAAAUGCAGAAAUCACUGUUUCAGAAGUGGUCAAAGGAAUGGCUGUUAAGAUUCAAUGUCACGAAAUGCAAGAGGAUGCACCGAAGGUAGCUCGUACCAACGGUAAGGAGGUACAGAAUAUCACCUGUACCAACGGGACGAAGAAAC